AUGUAUGGCCAUAUCACUCUGAAAUCUCCUAAUCUUGGCUGAUCUCAGAAGCUAAACAGGGUAGGACAUGGUUAGUACUUGGGUUGGGAGAAAGAGACCUAAUCAUUUGCUGUGAGUU
ensembl:rRNA 5S_rRNA 5S ribosomal RNA